rnacentral:rRNA from 1 species
GGGUUGUGAGGUUAAGCGACUAAGCGUACACGGUGGAUGCCCUGGCAGUCAGAGGCGAUGAAGGACGUGCUAAUCUGCGAUAAGCGUCGGUGAGGUGAUAUGAACCGUUAUAACCGGCGAUUUCCGAAUGGGGAAACCCAGUGUGUUUCGACACACUAUCAUUAACUGAAUCCAUAGGUUAAUGAGGCGAACCGGGGGAACUGAAACAUCUAAGUACCCCGAGGAAAAGAAAUCAACCGAGAUUCCCCCAGUAGCGGCGAGCGAACGGGGAGGAGCCCAGAGCCUGAAUCAGUGUGUGUGUUAGUGGAAGCGUCUGGAAAGGCGUGCGAUACAGGGUGACAGCCCCGUACACAAAAAUGCACAUAUUGUGAGCUCGAUGAGUAGGGCGGGACACGUGGUAUCCUGUCUGAAUAUGGGGGGACCAUCCUCCAAGGCUAAAUACUCCUGACUGACCGAUAGUGAACCAGUACCGUGAGGGAAAGGCGAAAAGAACCCCGGCGAGGGGAGUGAAAAAGAACCUGAAACCGUGUACGUACAAGCAGUGGGAGCCUCUUAAUGGGGUGACUGCGUACCUUUUGUAUAAUGGGUCAGCGACUUAUAUUCUGUAGCAAGGUUAACCGAAUAGGGGAGCCGAAGGGAAACCGAGUCUUAACUGGGCGUUAAGUUGCAGGGUAUAGACCCGAAACCCGGUGAUCUAGCCAUGGGCAGGUUGAAGGUUGGGUAACACUAACUGGAGGACCGAACCGACUAAUGUUGAAAAAUUAGCGGAUGACUUGUGGCUGGGGGUGAAAGGCCAAUCAAACCGGGAGAUAGCUGGUUCUCCCCGAAAGCUAUUUAGGUAGCGCCUCGUGAAUUCAUCUCCGGGGGUAGAGCACUGUUUCGGCAAGGGGGUCAUCCCGACUUACCAACCCGAUGCAAACUGCGAAUACCGGAGAAUGUUAUCACGGGAGACACACGGCGGGUGCUAACGUCCGUCGUGAAGAGGGAAACAACCCAGACCGCCAGCUAAGGUCCCAAAGUCAUGGUUAAGUGGGAAACGAUGUGGGAAGGCCCAGACAGCCAGGAUGUUGGCUUAGAAGCAGCCAUCAUUUAAAGAAAGCGUAAUAGCUCACUGGUCGAGUCGGCCUGCGCGGAAGAUGUAACGGGGCUAAACCAUGCACCGAAGCUGCGGCAGCGACGCUUAUGCGUUGUUGGGUAGGGGAGCGUUCUGUAAGCCUGUGAAGGUGGCCUGUGAGGGUUGCUGGAGGUAUCAGAAGUGCGAAUGCUGACAUAAGUAACGAUAAAGCGGGUGAAAAGCCCGCUCGCCGGAAGACCAAGGGUUCCUGUCCAACGUUAAUCGGGGCAGGGUGAGUCGACCCCUAAGGCGAGGCCGAAAGGCGUAGUCGAUGGGAAACAGGUUAAUAUUCCUGUACUUGGUGUUACUGCGAAGGGGGGACGGAGAAGGCUAUGUUGGCCGGGCGACGGUUGUCCCGGUUUAAGCGUGUAGGCUGGUUUUCCAGGCAAAUCCGGAAAACCAAGGCUGAGGCGUGAUGACGAGGCACUACGGUGCUGAAGCGACAAAUGCCCUGCUUCCAGGAAAAGCCUCUAAGCAUCAGGUAACAUCAAAUCGUACCCCAAACCGACACAGGUGGUCAGGUAGAGAAUACCAAGGCGCUUGAGAGAACUCGGGUGAAGGAACUAGGCAAAAUGGUGCCGUAACUUCGGGAGAAGGCACGCUGAUAUGUAGGUGAAGCGACUUGCUCGUGGAGCUGAAAUCAGUCGAAGAUACCAGCUGGCUGCAACUGUUUAUUAAAAACACAGCACUGUGCAAACACGAAAGUGGACGUAUACGGUGUGACGCCUGCCCGGUGCCGGAAGGUUAAUUGAUGGGGUUAGCGGUAACGCGAAGCUCUUGAUCGAAGCCCCGGUAAACGGCGGCCGUAACUAUAACGGUCCUAAGGUAGCGAAAUUCCUUGUCGGGUAAGUUCCGACCUGCACGAAUGGCGUAAUGAUGGCCAGGCUGUCUCCACCCGAGACUCAGUGAAAUUGAACUCGCUGUGAAGAUGCAGUGUACCCGCGGCAAGACGGAAAGACCCCGUGAACCUUUACUAUAGCUUGACACUGAACAUUGAGCCUUGAUGUGUAGGAUAGGUGGGAGGCUUUGAAGUGUGGACGCCAGUCUGCAUGGAGCCGACCUUGAAAUACCACCCUUUAAUGUUUGAUGUUCUAACGUUGGCCCGUAAUCCGGGUUGCGGACAGUGUCUGGUGGGUAGUUUGACUGGGGCGGUCUCCUCCUAAAGAGUAACGGAGGAGCACGAAGGUUGGCUAAUCCUGGUCGGACAUCAGGAGGUUAGUGCAAUGGCAUAAGCCAGCUUGACUGCGAGCGUGACGGCGCGAGCAGGUGCGAAAGCAGGUCAUAGUGAUCCGGUGGUUCUGAAUGGAAGGGCCAUCGCUCAACGGAUAAAAGGUACUCCGGGGAUAACAGGCUGAUACCGCCCAAGAGUUCAUAUCGACGGCGGUGUUUGGCACCUCGAUGUCGGCUCAUCACAUCCUGGGGCUGAAGUAGGUCCCAAGGGUAUGGCUGUUCGCCAUUUAAAGUGGUACGCGAGCUGGGUUUAGAACGUCGUGAGACAGUUCGGUCCCUAUCUGCCGUGGGCGCUGGAGAACUGAGGGGGGCUGCUCCUAGUACGAGAGGACCGGAGUGGACGCAUCACUGGUGUUCGGGUUGUCAUGCCAAUGGCACUGCCCGGUAGCUAAAUGCGGAAGAGAUAAGUGCUGAAAGCAUCUAAGCACGAAACUUGCCCCGAGAUGAGUUCUCCCUGACCCUUUAAGGGUCCUGAAGGAACGUUGAAGACGACGACGUUGAUAGGCCGGGUGUGUAAGCGCAGCGAUGCGUUGAGCUAACCGGUACUAAUGAACCGUGAGGCUUAACCUUACAACGCCGAAG